CUGUGAUCCUCCACUGAACAUUAACUUCCUGUAUUCUUCAAAUUCAUUGGGAAUGAAAAACAAAUUAGCAUUUCGAAAUAACAAAUCUGUCUGCUAACACUUUGGAUGUUCAGCUUUCUUAAUGGAAACAAAUGCAGAUUAUCUUGCAGCUUUCCAGCCUGGCUAGAGAAGAUUUCUUUGAAAUAGAGAGGUUAGAGUCCAGCUUACAGAAAACUGUAGAAGCUCAAAAAAGAUUGAUCAAGCUGCUGAGGAACAUGCCUCUGGCUUUCGGAGGCUGCAUUUCCACCAACUCCCAGGCCGGCCUUCGCUCCAGCUCCUCUUCCAGCACCUCUUCCAGCAGCUCCUCCACCCUGCUAUCCACCACAGAGCUUUGUACAGCCAGGCAGAAAGCGCAGGGGUAACAGCGAAAAGAGUAACAGAAAACUGGAACAAUUACCUCAAGUUUUUACAAGUUCAUUUUUCUAACUCGUCUCACGUCCAAUGCAAAUUUGGAAGAAAAAGAGACGUCCCUCUGAGAUGUAAAACUGUAAAGGAGCUUUAGAUAAGGCCUACAAAAAUGUAUGUGCAGAUAUCACAAGGCUCAACUCUCAAGAAAGUUUCUGCGUAGAAAGAAAGGAUUUAUUACCAAGCAUAUGUAGUUAUUUCCCAUUGAUUUCUAACCUUACCGGUUAUAAACAACACUUUAACCUGUAGUUUAGUGUACGUGUAAAACAGAGGGUGUCUGCUUAUAGAUGAAAGAGUUGUGAGCUAAAAGUGAAAUGUUUUGUUUCUGACUGAGGUGGUAUAUAUUUGCUAGCUAUGUUUUAACAAGAUUUAUCAAUAUAAAACUUUAUUUAAUUCAUAAAAGCAGGCACUGAAAAACAGACUAAAUAAUGUGUAAAGGUUUGUGAGUAAUGCCCAUAGUCAUGAUAUUUGGCAUUUAUUUUUAAAUUCUCAAUUAUCUUUGAUUCAAUUGAGCUUUUUCUAAAAUUAAAUCCUUGAGUCAACUGUACCUAGUUUUUAACUUCUUCUCACAUUAUCGGGGCCUAGCUCUUAACAUAUACUUUUGUUAGGAAAUCUUAAAAUAAGUAAAAUAAGUAAUGGAGCUAUCUUAAGAAGAUGUUUUGAAUUCUUAAGAUCAAUGACCAAGAUAAUAUCAGGUUAGUUGAAUAAUUUCUACCUGCUAUGGAUUGUAAGCUUCACUAACUGUAAUUUAAUUAUUUUAUUUUAUAAAUAAGCUACUGUUCUGCUGAAGAGCGCUGAAAUUCCAGACAAGCAAAGCAUGUUGCCUGCAAAAAUGAAAUGAAGUCUUCUGCAAUUUGAGAACUUUGCUUUUCAUCAGGGAUUAGCAAACAAUUGAGGGAGGCCAAGUGUAUUAUUUCAAAUAUAGAACAGUAUGGCAUAUCUGUGAAAGUUUGAUGUAAAAUCAUAAUGGAUGAAAAUGUUGCCCAUUUUACUCCAGACAGAUAAUCUUCAAAUAUAUGAAAAAAUAUUUGAAUGAGCAAACGUCUCACAAGAUCAGAGCUACCCCAAAAUGCAAUCCAUUUUACUGAAACAAUGAGAAAUAGGAGGUGGGACCUUUGUUACCCAUUAACUCUAUGCAAGCCCCAUUUAAGUAAUUUAAUAUCUUGAUUUCUUUGAAUAGAUAAUUCUCCCUUUUCAAAAAUAGGCUAAAGAUUUUAAUUAGCAAGAUGCUCCACAGGUGCAGUGGACCCUAAUGUAAUCUAUUUGCAGCCAAUGUACAAUGGUUAGGUGGGAGAUCUGUUAAUUUUACUCCUAAAAGUGAGUUUCUGCAGUGGUGACUGCCAAGACAGCAAUCCCAUUGAAUGUGUUUUUAUUUAGCAAGAGACACCGGGCUAUAUUCUCAAAGCUAUUUACUCUAGAUUGUCAUUAGCGCAUUCUUUUCAAAAAGGAAAAUCACACCCAAUAAAGUUUCCAAACCAUAAAAAAGCAAUUUAGACAUUUAACAGUAGGGCUUAUAAGUUGCCUGAAGUUGUGUUUUUUUAAAUAUAUAUUUUAGUUUUUCACUUCUUAAAAAUACAAUUUGGGUUAAAUAGCUGAAAAUCUAGCCCACAGUCUUUAAAAGGCGGACAGGAAAGGCAAACUUUAAACCAAAGAAACUGGCUUUAAAGGGCAGCAGAAAACAUAUACAUAAUGACAACUACUGGACAUUAAAAAUGCGUGUGUUUCUCUUUUGCUAUUUAAACUGUAGCACAGCCAUCUGGCUCCACCAGCAGGACAUAGUUAGUAGAAUAGAGUACCUAAUCACAAAUUAACAUUGAUCUCCAACUACAUUAAAAAAUAAAACAUGUAAGAUACAGUAUAUUUGCUGUCACUGCAUAGUUGUGUUUAUUUCCAUGUACACUUGUAAUAACAACUGUAUAGAGAGAAAUGCCUUAGGUGCUGCAAUAGAAAAGAAAGACACGUUUCAUUUUAAAAUGUUUAAAUAUGUUAAAAUAAUCAUAACUAUGAUUAUUUUAACAUAUUAAACUAAAAUAAUUAGCUAAUAUGGCCUGUUUUUUUUUACCUUGAUUCAGUGCUGGAAGACACUCAUUGUUAAGGAUGGUGAAUUGCCAGCAACCUUUAAAAAACUGCCAGUGUCUCUCUGAAACCAAUAUUAGAAUAUUAGGCUUGGGGCUUUUGCCUAGCAUGAGAUUAUCUUUACAUCACCCACCUGAGGCCUAGAGGGUAGUGUAAUAAACAAUCAGAUACAUAUCUGUCAGUUCUUUUUGGCAAAGUAGGGAUAAUAACAUAUCUCAGUGUAUAGGUCCACAGGGAUAAGUGUUCAGAAAGUGCCAUCCCAAAAACAUCCAGGGUUAGUUUCGUAGUUAUAGUUUUCACAAUGUUAUUUUAAGUUACAUAUUGUACCUUUUCCCUUUUUUUGUUGCAUAGCAACACAAUCGCUACUUUGACCUAAUUGUUCUUUUCUAUCCCAAUGUUCUUUUCUGCAGGCUGGCAGAAGUGUGGAUUCCUUCUACAGGUCCCUCAGACUCUUUGCGCUGCUCUCAGAUGCCGCUGACGGGAAUUUGAACUUGCAGUAUGAGCUGACAGAAAAAAUUGUUAUUUGUACAUAGGAUUAAAAAGGAACAUCUCGACCCCCAUUGUCUGAACUAUGAGGAACCAAUCUAAUAUCCAUUGUUGAUAUGCCAAACUCUUUCAAUUUUAGCCGUGUUUACCUCUUGAGGGCAAACACUGAGAACACUGCUGACCAGUGGAGCCCCUCAUCCAGCUCAAGGCAACAGAGUUCAUCCUUGCAGGGAGAGUCAAAGCCGUCACUCUUCUGCUCUCCCUACUCUGGUUGCCUCAAAGGAGUCAGCAGACACCUUGACCAAACACAGACCACAGGGUAAAGGGGUACCUUCGCUUACAAGAAGUAUGGAGAAGGUAUUCAAACACUCUCUUCCAACAACCAAGAAGUUACAGAGAAUGAUGUGAAACACCAGAUGGAAAAGGAAGACAGCCCACCCAGAUGAGGAUAAAGAGGGGGCCAAACCAUGUGGGUCUGUAAGGUCGAAAAAGCCCCCUGGGUCGACAUUGUCAAAACCUUUUAGAAUUUUCAAUGCUUGAGUCAGAUCACCGCGUAAUCUUCUUUGUCGAAGACUGAACAGAUUCAAUUCUUUGAGCCUGUCUGCAAACGACAUGCCUUUUAAACCCGGGAUAAUUCUGGUCGCUCUUCUUUACACUCUUUCUAGAGCAGCAAUAUCCAUUUUGUAACAAGGUGACCAGAACUGAACACAAUAUUCUAGAUGAGGUCUUACUAAUGCAUUGUAAAGUUUUAACAUUACUUCCCUUGAUUUAAAUUCAAAACUUUUCAAAAUAUAUCCAAGCAUCUUGUUGGCCUUUUUUAUAGCUUCCCCACAUUGUUUAGAUGAAGACAUCUCUGAGUCAACAUAAACGCCUAGAUCUAUUUCAUAGAUUCCUUCUUCAAUUUCAGUAUCUCCCAUAUGAUAUUUAUAAUGCACAUUUUUAUUGCCUGCGUGCAGUACCUUACACUUUUCUCUAUUAAAUGUCAUUUGCCAUAUGUCUGCCCAGUUCUGACAUUCCUGAUAUAUUCUUAAAAACCCUAACCCUGUGGCAAGGAAGUGGAACUGUUGCCACAUCUUGCCUUCGACAAACUGAUUGGAUAAAACAAGCUACAUUAAAAGUACCUGACUCCUGAUUGGCGCAGUUAGCGAAUCAAACUGAUACCUAACACAAUACCUAAUUUGCAUAGACCCCAAUGGCUGUUCAGUGUGCAUACCUGUUUAAAAAAAUAUUUUAUGAUUAAUAACACAUUUUUGUAGUAUAGGUGUCCAAAUAUUUUAAAAGUACCGUAUUAUUUCAACGUGGUGCCGCGGCCUUUAUUUUAAAUUGAUCAAAAUGACUGCGGCCCUUAAACGAGGGCGACGAUUAUAUGAGGGCGGCCUUUAUUAAUAAUACUAUGCUUAACAAACGCUGCAGUACUUUAUUAAACGAUUUAAGGCAUUUUAGAAACGGCGCCAUGAGAGGCUCCGAUCUGCAGCACUAUACUCAUGUGUUUUGAGGGCUUGAAUACAGUACAUUUACUGAGAGUUAAUGAGAGCCUAAUAAGUGGGAAUUGGGGGGUCAGGGGAGUACUGUACCAGCGAAUCAGGACUGUGUAUUGGUUGCUAUGGGGCGGGACAAGAAGAGGAGAGACAACGGUAGUUGAGUGUGAAUAAAAAAUAAAACUAAACCCCCUACAAGAAGCUAUCUUCAGCCAGCUUUCGGAUAGAACUUACAGUGACCGGCAAAGCUCUAAGUUCCUCAGAGUUAAGUUUUCACCAUCCAAGCUGACGACGAGGUAAACAGACCCUUGUUUUAUCCCCUGCUGUGUUGGCACUGAACUCUGCUGGAAAAAGGGAGGUGAAGGACUGCUGUGCUGUAAAUAGUUCUUCUUGGGGUGUCUGUCGGGUCUGUACUAUAAAAUAACUAAGGUGGGUGUACAUUAGUUUAUAUUGCAUGCUGGAUUAAGGUUGCAGUCUCUUUGGGGAUGUCAUGUACAUAGGCAGAGUUGCGCGUUUCUUUAUUUUUUGAGCAGGGGUAGAAAAAAAACCUUUACAUUUCUUUAUUGAGAGCUGCGUUUAUUCAAGGGCGGCGUCUAUUAAAAAGCUGGUAUCUGAGUGAGGCGUUAAUUCGAGGGCGGCAUUAAUUCGAAGUAAUACGGUAUUCAAUUUUCAGUUUUGUCAUGAACUAUUGGUUUUACUAGUGACAGGCCCACCAAGAGAGUGGGGAGGCCGCUGCCACGGACACGUUUCAUCUUACAUUUCAUGAAUCAAAAAUGGUUAUUAAAUCACCAAUCGAUUGAAUGUGUUCCCUGUUAAA